rnacentral:rRNA from 1 species
GAUGAACGCUGGCGGCGUGCCUAAUACAUGCAAGUCGAGCGAACAGACGAGGAGCUUGCUCCUUUGACGUUAGCGGCGGAUGGGUGAGUAACACGUGGGUAACCUACCUAUAAGACUGGGAUAACUUCGGGAAACCGGAGCUAAUACCGGAUAAUAUUUCGAACCGCAUGGUUCGUUAGUGAAAGAUGGCUUUGCUAUCACUUAUAGAUGGACCUGCGCCGUAUUAGCUAGUUGGUAAGGUAACGGCUUACCAAGGCAACGAUACGUAGCCGACCUGAGAGGGUGAUCGGCCACACUGGAACUGAGACACGGUCCAGACUCCUACGGGAGGCAGCAGUAGGGAAUCUUCCGCAAAGGGCGAAAGCCUGACGGAGCAACGCCGCGUGAGUGAUGAAGGUCUUCGGAUCGUAAAACUCUGUUAUUAGGGAAGAACAAACGUGUAAGUAACUGUGCACGUCUUGACGGUACCUAAUCAGAAAGCCACGGCUAACUACGUG